rnacentral:rRNA from 1 species
AACUGACUUGCUAUGCCUUUUUGAUAAAUUAUUGAAUUUAUAUUAAGUUUUAAUUAUCUGGUUUAAUGGUAUAUAAUUAAUGUGAUAUUAAGUAUAAUAAUUUCUGAGUGUAUAGUUUAAACAAGAAUUAGAUACUCUUUUAUACAUAAAAAAAAUUUUUAAUUUUCAGUUUUAACUGAAAGAUUUUGACAGCUGAUUAUAUCCUUUUGGGGGAACGUGUUCAAUAAUAGAUGGUCCACUAAGUAGUGUACCUUCUUUAUAGUUGGUGUAUAUCCGGUUUUUAUGGAAUUUAUAAGAAUUUCAUGUAGUUAUAUUUAUUAAUCCAGGUCAAUAUGCUGCUUAUAAGAAGGUGAUAAUGCGUUACAUUUUAAAUAAUUAUCCGUAAUUGGUUUAGAUUAUAUUUAGGACUCAAUAGUAUUAUAAAAUAAUUGUUUAUGAGAAUUAGGUUUAAUUGGGGUACACAUCGCCCGUCACCUUCGAUAUUUAGUU